rnacentral:rRNA from 1 species
AAAAAAGGUAAGCUACUAAGAGCGAAUGGUGGAUGCCUUGACUGGUAAAGGCGAUGAAGGACGUACUAGACUGCGAUAAGCUACGGGGAGCUGUCAAGAAGCUUUGAUCCGUAGAUUUCCGAAUGGGGCAACCCAAUGUAUAGAGAUAUACAUUACCUAUAUAGGAGCGAACGAGGGGAAUUGAAACAUCUUAGUACCCUCAGGAAAAGAAAUCAAUAGAGAUUGCGUCAGUAGCGGCGAGCGAAAGCGCAAGAGGGCAAACCCAGUGCUUGCACUGGGGGUUGUAGGACUGCAAUGUGCAAGAGGUGAGUUUAGCAGAACAUUCUGGAAAGUAUAGCCAUAGAGGGUGAUAGUCCCGUAUGCGAAAAACAAACCUUAGCUAGCAGUAUCCUGAGUAGGGCGGGACACGAGAAAUCCUGUCUGAAGCUGGGUCGACCACGAUCCAACCCUAAAUACUAAUACCAGAUCGAUAGUGCACAAGUACCGUGAGGGAAAGGUGAAAAGAACUGAGGUGAUCAGAGUGAAAUAGAACCUGAAACCAUUUGCUUACAAUCAUUCAGAGCACUAUGUAGCAAUACAGUGUGAUGGACUGCCUUUUGCAUAAUGAGCCUGCGAGUUGUGGUGUCUGGCAAGGUUAAGCAAACGCGAAGCCGUAGCGAAAGCGAGUCUGAAUAGGGCGCUUAGUCAGAUGCUGCAGACCCGAAACGAAGUGAUCUAUCCAUGAGCAAGUUGAAGCUAGUGUAAGAACUAGUGGAGGACUGAACCCAUAGGCGUUGAAAAGCCCCGGGAUGACUUGUGGAUAGGGGUGAAAGGCCAAUCAAACUUCGUGAUAGCUGGUUCUCUCCGAAAUAUAUUUAGGUAUAGCGUUGUGUCGUAAUAUAAGGGGGUAGAGCACUGAAUGGGCUAGGGCAUACACCAAUGUACCAAACCCUAUCAAACUCCGAAUACCUUAUAUGUAAUCACAGCAGUCAGGCGGCGAGUGAUAAAAUCCGUCGUCAAGAGGGAAACAACCCAGACUACCAGCUAAGGUCCCUAAAUCUUACUUAAGUGGAAAACGAUGUGAAGUUACUUAAACAACCAGGAGGUUGGCUUAGAAGCAGCCAUCCUUUAAAGAAAGCGUAAUAGCUCACUGGUCUAGUGAUUUUGCGCGGAAAAUAUAACGGGGCUAAAGUAAGUACCGAAGCUGUAGACUUGAUUUUAUCAAGUGGUAGGAGAGCGUUCUAUUUGCGUCGAAGGUAUACCGGUAAGGAGUGCUGGAGCGAAUAGAAGUGAGCAUGCAGGCAUGAGUAGCGAUAAUUAAUGUGAGAAUCAUUAACGCCGUAAACCCAAGGUUUCCUACGCGAUGCUCGUCAUCGUAGGGUUAGUCGGGUCCUAAGUCGAGUCCGAAAGGGGUAGACGAUGGCAAAUUGGUUAAUAUUCCAAUACCAACAUUAGUGUGCGAUGGAAGGACGCUUAGGGCUAAGGGGGCUAGCGGAUGGAAGUGCUAGUCUAAGGUCGUAGGAGGUUAUACAGGCAAAUCCGUAUAACAAUACUCCGAGAACUGAAAGGCUUUUUGAAGUCUUCGGAUGGAUAGAAGAACCCCUGAUGCCGUCGAGCCAAGAAAAGUUUCUAAGUUUAGCUAAUGUUGCCCGUACCGUAAACCGACACAGGUGGGUGGGAUGAGUAUUCUAAGGCGCGUGGAAGAACUCUCUUUAAGGAACUCUGCAAAAUAGCACCGUAUCUUCGGUAUAAGGUGUGGUUCGCUUCGUAUUAGGAUUUACUCCGAAAGCGAAGAAACUUACAACAAAGAGUCCCUCCCGACUGUUUACCAAAAACACAGCACUCUGCUAACUCGUAAGAGGAUGUAUAGGGUGUGACGCCUGCCCGGUGCUCGAAGGUUAAUUGAUGGGGUUAGCAUUAGCGAAGCUCUUGAUCGAAGCCCGAGUAAACGGCGGCCGUAACUAUAACGGUCCUAAGGUAGCGAAAUUCCUUGUCGGUUAAAUACCGACCUGCAUGAAUGGCGUAACGAGAUGGGAGCUGUCUCAAAGAGGGAUCCAGUGAAAUUGUAGUGGAGGUGAAAAUUCCUCCUACCCGCGGCAAGACGGAGAGACCCCGUGGACCUUUACUACAGCUUGACACUGCUAUUUGGAUAAGAAUGUGCAGGAUAGGUGGGAGGCUUUGAGUAUAUGACGCCAGUUGUAUAUGAGCCAUUGUUGAGAUACCACUCUUUCUUAUUUGGGUAGCUAACCAGCUUGAGUUAUCCUCAAGUGGGACAAUGUCUGGUGGGUAGUUUGACUGGGGCGGUCGCCUCCCAAAUAAUAACGGAGGCUUACAAAGGUUGGCUCAGAACGGUUGGAAAUCGUUCGUAGAGUAUAAAGGUAUAAGCCAGCUUAACUGCAAGACAUACAAGUCAAGCAGAGACGAAAGUCGGUCUUAGUGAUCCGGUGGUUCUGUGUGGAAGGGCCAUCGCUCAAAGGAUAAAAGGUACCCCGGGGAUAACAGGCUGAUCUCCCCCAAGAGCUCACAUCGACGGGGAGGUUUGGCACCUCGAUGUCGGCUCAUCGCAUCCUGGGGCUGGAGCAGGUCCCAAGGGUAUGGCUGUUCGCCAUUUAAAGCGGUACGCGAGCUGGGUUCAGAACGUCGUGAGACAGUUCGGUCCCUAUCUGCCGUGGGCGUAAGAAGAUUGAAGAGAUUUGACCCUAGUACGAGAGGACCGGGUUGAACAAACCACUGGUGUAGCUGUUGUUCUGCCAAGAGCAUCGCAGCGUAGCUAAGUUUGGAAAGGAUAAACGCUGAAAGCAUCUAAGCGUGAAGCCAACUCUAAGAUGAAUCUUCUCUAAGCUCUCUAGAAGACUACUAGUUUGAUAGGCUGGGUGUGUAAUGGAUGAAAGUCCUUUAGCUGACCAGUACUAAUAGAGCGUUUGGCUUAUCUUUAAUAAAGCAU